rnacentral:tRNA from 1 species
AGAAUGUGGACCUAAUAAUAGAA